UACGGAGGAUCCAAGCGUUAUCCGGAAUCAUUGGGUUUAAAGGGUCCGUAGGCGGGCUAAUAAGUCAGAGGUGAAAUCCUGCAGCUCAACUGUAGAACUGCCUUUGAUACUGUUAGUCUUGAGUCAUUUGGAAGUAGAUAGAAUGUGUAGUGUAGCGGUGAAAUGCAUAGAUAUUACACAGAAUACCGAUUGCGAAGGCAGAUUACUAACAAUUAACUGACGCUGAGGGACGAAAGCGUGGGUAGCGAACAGG
rnacentral:rRNA from 1 species